rnacentral:rRNA from 1 species
CCUACGGGUGGCAGCAGUGAGGAAUAUUGGUCAAUGGGCGCAAGCCUGAACCAGCCAUGUAGCGUGAAGGAUGACUGCCCUACGGGUUGUAAACUUCUUUUGUAAAAGGGUAAAGUUAGGCACGUGUGCCUUUUUGUAUGUACUUUAUGAAUAAGGAUCGGCUAACUCCGUGCCAGCAGCCGCGGUAAUACGGAGGAUCCGAGCGUUAUCCGGAUUUAUUGGGUUUAAAGGGAGCGUAGGUGGGUUGUUAAGUCAGUUGUGAAAGUUUGCGGCUCAACUGUAAAACUGCAAUUGAUACUGGCAGUCUUGAGUAUAGUUGAGGUAGGCGGAAUGCGUGGUGUAGCGGUGAAAUGCUUAGAUAUCAUGCAGAACUCCGAUUGCGAAGGCAGCUUACUAAUCU